rnacentral:rRNA from 1 species
GAUGUACGCUGGCGGCGUGCCUAAUACAUGCAAGUCGAGCGAACAGACGAGGAGCUUGCUCCUCUAACGUUAGCGGCGGACGGGUGAGUAACACGUGGAUAACCUACCUAUAAGACUGGGAUAACUUCGGGAAACCGGAGCUAAUACCGGAUAAUAUAUUGAACCGCAUGGUUCAAUAGUGAAAGACGGUUUUGCUGUCACUUAUAGAUGGAUCCGCGCCGCAUUAGCUAGUUGGUAAGGUAACAGCUUACCAAGGCAACGAUGCGUAGCCGACCUGAGAGGGUGAUCGGCCACACUGGAACUGAGACACGGUCCAGACUCCUACGGGAGGCAGCAGUAGGGAAUCUUCCGCAAUGGGCGAAAGCCUGACGGAGCAACGCCGCGUGAGUGAUGAAGGUCUUCGGAUCGUAAAACUCUGUUAUUAGGGAAGAACAAAUGUGUAAGUAACUAUGCACGUCUUGACGGUACCUAAUCAGAAAGCCACGGCUAACUACGUG